rnacentral:piRNA from 1 species
UCCAACCAAGAGAGAUAAUCCCCAUAGUUU